AUGGAAAGGACUCAGUUUUGGUUUAUGGAGCUUGAAUCAAUCAUGUUCUUAAAUACAACAAUAAGGCCUCAUUGUUUUAAUAAUAAUCAGAAUUUCAGAUUAAUCAUAGGCCAAAUGACCUUUAUUGCAAAUCUCAAAAACAUUUGGUUCACUAAAGAGGUUCAAAAGGCAAGUUAUUACAAAAGCAGUAACAAGAUCAUCAUGAUUACAAAGCAGUACAAAAAGCUUUCAAAACAAGUUUAA